rnacentral:rRNA from 1 species
UACGUAGGGGGCUAGCGUUGUCCGGAUUUAUUGGGCGUAAAGAGCGUGUAGGCGGCCAGAUAGGUCUGCUGUGAAAACUCGAGGCUCAACCUCGAGACGCCGAUGGAAACCAUGUGGCUAGAGUCCGGAAGAGGAGAGUGGAAUUCCUGGUGUAGCGGUGAAAUGCGCAGAUAUCAGGAAGAACACCCGUGGCUAAGGCGGCUCUCUAGUACGGUACUGACGCUGAGACGCGAAAGCGUGGGGAGCGAACAGG